rnacentral:rRNA from 1 species
GAUGAACGCUGGCGGCGUGCCUAAUACAUGCAAGUCGAGCGAACAGACGAGGAGCUUGCUCCUCUGACGUUAGCGGCGGACGGGUGAGUAACACGUGGAUAACCUACCUAUAAGACUGGGAUAACUUCGGGAAACCGGAGCUAAUACCGGAUAAUAUAUUGAACCGCAUGGUUCAAUAGUGAAAGACGGUUUUGCUGUCACUUAUAGAUGGAUCCGCGCCGCAUUAGCUAGUUGGUAAGGUAACGGCUUACCAAGGCAACGAUGCGUAGCCGACAUGAGAGGGUGAGCGGCCACACUGGAACUGAGACACGGUCCAGACUCAUACGGGAGGCAGCAGUAGGGAAUCUUCCGCAAUGGGCGAAAGACUGACGGAGCAACGCCGCGUGAGUGAUGAAGGUCUUCGGAUCGUAAAACUCUGUUAUUAGGGAAGAACAAAUGUGUAAGUAACUAUGCACGUCUUGACGGUACCUAAUCAGAAAGCCACGGCUAACUACGUG